UUAUCUUGGCAGAUUAAUUGCAUCAAGUUUAGAAUUUGAAUAUAAGAAGGUUUUCUUAGAUAAAA
rnacentral:tRNA from 1 species